rnacentral:rRNA from 1 species
GUCGACGGCAGCCAGAGGAGCUUGCUCCUUGUGGUGGCGAGUGGCGGACGGGUGAGGAAUACAUCGAGAAUCUACUUUUUCGUGGGGGAUAACGUAGGGAAACUUACGCUAAUACCGCAUACGACCUACGGGUGAAGGCAGGGGACCUUCGGACCUUGCGCGAUUGAAUGCGCCGAUGUCGGAUUAGCUAGUUGGCGGGGUAAAGGCCCACCAAGGCCACGAUCCGUAGCUGGUCUGAGAGGAUGAUCAGCCACACUGGAACUGAGACACGGUCCAGACUCCUACGGGAGGCAGCAGUGGGGAAUAUUGGACAAUGGGCGCAAGCCUGAUCCAGCCAUACCGCGUGGGUGAAGAAGGCCUUCGGGUUGUAAAGCCCUUUUGUUGGGAAAGAAAUCCAGCCGGCUAAUACCUGGUUGGGAUGACGGUACCCAAAGAAUAACCACCGGCUAACUUCGUGCCAGCAGCCGCGGUAAUACGAAGGGUGCAAGCGUUACUCUGAAUUACUGGGCGUAAAGCGUGCGUAGGUGGUUGUUUAAGUCUGUUGUGAAACCCCUGGGCUCAACCUGGGAACUGCAGUGGAAACUGGACAACUAGAGUGUGGUAGAGGGUAGCGGAAUUCCCUGUGUAGCAGUGAAAUGCGUAGAGAUCGGUAGGAACAUCCAUGGCGAAGGCAGCUACCUGGACCAACACUGACACUGAGGCACGAAAGCGUGGGGAGCAAACACGAUUAAAUACCCUGGUAGUCCACGCCCUAAACGAUGCGAACUGGAUGUUGGGUGCAAUUUGGCACGCACUAUCGAGCUAACGCGUUAAGUUCUCCGCCUGGGGAGUACGGUCGCGAGACUGAAACUCAAAGGAAUUGACGGGGGCCCACACAAGCC